AUCGUCACAAUGUCCACCGCACAGGCCACAAAGCAGCUUCAAGUUGUUUCUUCAGACCGCGACGCUUUCAUUGACCAUAUUCAUAAAGAUGAGACAGAAAGUAGGACAUGCUCAGACAGGCUGCACCCUUAAGAUGUUGCAGUGAGAGGAAACGAGGGGAGUGUGUCCUACACCACAGGCAGGACCCGUGACAGAAAUACCAUGUGGAAUACAUGUGUAAAGCCUCCCUUCUCAUCACAUGAAGCGUUCAGUAGCUCUGUAGAUGUCUCUGUAAUGUGCCUUAGACACGACUGUCUGAUAGAAAGGAAGGGGAAGCAUGCAAGAGCAAAGGUAGAGCUGUAAUCUGGUGGACUGCACUGAUUAAAGGGGAAGAAUAAAAUAAGUGUAUUGAUGCAUAUCCAAGGGCUGCUUUAAUUUUUUUUUAUUUGACCUUUAUCUAUACAGGUCAUUUAAGCCCCAUCAGUGCACACAUAUCAUGCUGAAUGAGAUAACUUGACCUGUAAAGGUAUUAAUUGUUGCAGAAGCGUAACGACUAUCAUACAUUAAACUUCAGCUCUCUGUUGUUGCGUCCUGAAUAAACAUCCAACAUACUUUAAGAGACAUGUUGGCUGUUUUCUCUUUAAUAGCUUCUUUAAGGGUUUAUAUUUGCUUUGAUUUUAUAUUUGAACACUUCACUGAUGCUGAUAAUACCCAACUUUAAGCCUUUUUCCCCUCUGUAAUUAUCCACACUGAAGAGUGUUAUUAUUGGAAUCU